CCUACGGGCGGCAGCAGUGGGGGAUAUUGCACAAUGGGGGGAACCCUGAUGCAGCGACGCCGCGUGGGUGAAGAAGCGCCUCGGCGCGUAAAGCCCUGUCAGCAGGGAAGAAAAUGACGGUACCUGAAGAAGAAGCCCCGGCUAACUACGUGCCAGCCGCCGCGGUAAUACGUAGGGGGCACGCGUUAUCCGGAUUUACUGGGUGUAAGGGGGGCGCAGACGGGAGUGCAAGCCGGGAGUGAAAGCCCGGGGCCCAACCCCGGGACUGCUCUUGGAACUGCGUGGCUGGAGUGCAGGAGGGGCAGGAGGAAUGCGUGGUGUAGCGGUGAAAUGCGUAGAUAGCAGGAGGAACACCGGUGGCGAAGGCGGCCUGCUGGACUGCAACUGACGUUGAGGCCCGAAAGCGUGGGGAGCAAACAGGAUUAGAUACCCCAGUAGUC
rnacentral:rRNA from 1 species